UUGUAAGAGCUGUUGGUGGGCUGAAACAGGCUAUUAGUGGGAGAUUUAGGAGUUUGUUUUCAGACAAAGAGCGUAACAGUGUUUAUAAAACUCCUGUGGUGUGUGUGUCUCAUGGCGACCUGGACCUCGUCUGUGUUUCUGGCAUAAAGAGCUAUGAUUUGGCCGAGGUGUCAAAAAGUAGUUGAGGGAAGGCUUUGCAAUUAUGGAAUGUGGUGUAAGGAUCCCUGUGGUGCUUUGAGAUCUGCGGUCGAUCACCUGCCGUCUCUUAAAAUGCCUAUGGGUAAAAGACAGAAGGGGGAAACUAACUCAAGAUAUAAUGAUGCUGCUUUGGUUUCUCCCUCACUCCAUCUUCUUUCUCUCUUUUCCUCCUCUUUCUUUUCCUCUCAAGCUCUCAUUUAUUCCUCCUCGCUGUUUCUCUCCUUUUUCUCUUUCUCCCUCCCUCUGCACUCUCCCUCGCUCUAUCCAUUGCAUGUAGACAAUUGACACAGGCAGCUAUCUCCUUGCCCACACUUGCAGAAUACCGUUGCUAUGUUAUCGUGGGGCCCGUUCAAGGAUGUCUCCAGCCUUGAGAUAAUGAGCAACACUUCCAGAAGAUGUCUGUUCACCGAACUCUGAGACUGAAUCUGUGUACCACUGCAGCUGUGUGCAUGGAAUGCUCUAUGGGAAAAGUGGCAUAUACAGUGCCUUCAGAAAGUAUUCAUACCACUUGACUUAUUCCACAUUUUGAUGUGUUACAGCCUGAAUUAAAAAUUGAUUAAAUAUAUUUUUCUCACCCAUCUACUAACAAUACCCCAUAAUGACAAAGUGAUUUUAUUUUUGCACAUUUAUUGAAAAUGAAAUACAGAAAGGUCUCACUUAGAUAAGUAUUCACACCCCUGAGUCAAAACUUUGUAGGAUCACCUUUGGCAGCGUUUACAGCAGUGAGUCUUUAAAGCCUUGUUCAGGCCUUAAUGCUCAAAUCAGUUUUGUUUUUCAAAUCUGUUUUGGACUACUGGCUGUCCAAACAGCAAGUUACAAGUGACCAAAUUGGAUUUGUGUGUGUUCAGACAGCAGUCAUUUGCUGACAAGGCUAUGCUAGUUGUCAUAGUAACGGGGGGGUGUACAGUGGUGUAGGUUGAUUGGUGGUGGUGCUCAUGCUUCCUGUCACUCAGAAGUUAUGCAGCGGGGCUUCCUGAGUGGCCCAGCGGUCUAAGACACUGCAUCACACUGCUAGAGGCAUUACUACAGACCUGGGUUCAUUCCCGGGCUGUGCCACAACCGGGCCGUGGCCCGCAGUCCCAUAGGACGGCGCACAAUUGGCCCAGCGUGGUCCGGGUUAGGCUGGUGGGGCUUUACUUGGCUCAUCUCGCUCUAGUGACUCCUUGUGGCGGGCUGACUCCUGUCGCCAGUUGAACGGUGUUUCCUCCGGCACAUUGGUGCUGGCGGGUGUUAAGGAGCGCAGUUAGGUGGUUCAUGUUUUGGAGGAUGCAUGACUUCGUCGAGCCCGUUGGGGAGUUGCAGCGAUGAGACAAGAUGGAAAAUUGGGGAGAAAAGGCCACUUUUAAAGCCUCAAAAGGAUAAGAGGAUCCAACUUUCCAACUAACCCUAACCCUAACCCUAACCCUAGUUAACUAUUUAGCUUUCUAGCACAUUCACUGAUUUGUUUGUAAAAAUUAACAAGCUAGGUAGCUACCACAUGUUCUUUUCUAACUGUCAACAGAGUAGCCUAGCUAGUAAGCAACAAGAUAUGCCAAAUAACAGUCUAAAAAACACUUGAUGGCAAAUAAUCAGAUGGCCAGGAAUCAGAUUUGUACCUGAGCUUCAUGGGUGGUUUGAAAUGUGGCCUGAUAUAUCAGAUUCCAUGUGCUUUCUGGCUAUUCAGACUGCAGGAAAAGUAACAGAUUCUAAUUAGAUAUGCAAAUAAAUAGGAUUUGAGUCACUUCAAACUGCCAAUGUGAACACGGCAUUAGAGCUUUCCACACCUGGAUUGUGUAGCAUUUGCCCAUUAUUAUUUACCCAAAUUGUCAAGCUCUGUCAAAUUGGUUGUUAAUCAUUGCUAGACAACCACUUUUAGGUCUUGCCAUAGAUUUUCAAGUAGAUUUAAGUCAAAACAGUAACUCGGCCACAUUCAUUGUCUUCUUGGUAAAAACUCUAGUGUAUAUUUGGCCAUGUGUUUUAGGUUAUGGACCUGCUGAAAGGUAAAUUAAUCUCCCAGUGUCUGGUGGAAAGUAGACUGAACCAGGUUUUCCUCUAUGAUUUUGCCGGUGCUUAGCUCCAUUACAUUUAUUUUUUAUCCUGAAAAACUCCCCAGUCCUUAACGAUUACAAGCAUACCCAUAACAUGACGCAGCCUUCACUAUACUUGAAAUAUGCAGAGUGGUACUCAGUAAUGUGUUGUAUUGGAUUUACCCCAUAACACUUUAUAUUCAGGACAAAAAGUUAAUUGCCUUGACACAUUCUUUUCAGUAUUACUUUAGUCCCUUGUUACAAACAGGAUGCAUGUUUUGGAAUAUUUUUAUUCCGUAUAAGGCUUCUUUCUUUUCACUGUCAAUUAGGUUAGUUUUGUAGAGUAACUAUUCUGUUGUUGAUCCAUCCUUUUUUUCCCCUAUCACUGCCAUUAAACUAACUAUUUUAAAGUCACCAUUGGCCUCAUGGUGAAAUCAAUGAGCUGUUUCCUUCAUUUCCGGUAACUUAGUUAGUAAUGACGCCUGUAUCUUUGUAGUGACUGGGUGUUAUGAUACACCAUCCAAUGUGUAAAUAAUAACUUCACCAUGCUCAAAGAGAUAUUCAAUGUCUGCUUUUGUAAAUGUUUUACCCAUCUACCAAUAGGUGCCUUUCUUUGCGAGGCAUUGGAAACCUCCCUGGUCUUUGUGGUUCAAAUCCACUGCUCGACUGAGGGACCUUACAGAUAAUUGAAUGUGUGGGGUACAGAGAUGAGGUAGUCAUUAAAAAAAUCAUGUUAAACACUAUUAUUGCACACAGAGUGAGUCCGUGGAACUUAUUAUGUGACUUGUUAAGCACGUAUUUACUCCUGACCUUGUUUAGGCUUGAUAUAACAAAGGCGUUGAAUACUUAUUGACUCAAGACAUUCAAGCUUUUCGUUUCUAAUCAAAUCUGUAAUAAAAAAAAGUGAAAAACAUAAAUACACUUUGAAAUGAUGGGGUGUUGUUUGUAGGCCAGUGACAAAAUACAUCUACAUUUAAUACAUUUUCAAAUUCAGGCUGUAACAAUGUGGAAAAAGUCAAGGGGUGUGAAUACUUUCUGAAGGCACUAUACCAUUCAGAAUCUGAAAUCAAUCAUUGUAAUCCACGAUAAAGGGUUAUGGAAUGUUGGAUCACUUUUACAGUAUUUUGCUUUUAAUCAAUAAACUGCUGCCCUUUU